GCAGAGCUGGUGGCACCUCUCCUUAUGUGAGUGAGACCUUACUGGUCCCAGGAGGUAAGGUGUGGGUACCAAUUUUAGGCCUGGGUGGUAGGAAAGGCACAAGGUAGGGCUAAACUAGAGCGCAGUAAUUCCCAAAACAGGUACGUGUCCCCAGACCAAUUCGGAUGAUUUACCUGUGUUAUCAAAACUGAAGAAUAAAAGCAUAAAACGCUGACUGUCAGUAACGUGGAUGGAUAUGGAAGGGAAAUCUGGAACUCUCCUUUGAGAAAUGUGUUGUUUUGCUUUUUCACCAGUCCUUCUUUGAUGGGACAAAGCAGACAAUAAGAGGAGGAGGAAGACUCUUCUGUUUCCAAACCCGAUGGGCUGGUCCCUGGUGAGGGGGGGGGCGGCCAAGAAGCGUUCCCUCUAAUGGCUCCUUUCUCUCCCCCGAGGCCUGCCUGAUUCUCAGGCUCUGGCUCUUUCUCCGGAGCACAGCUGUGACCGGGGGAGGCCAUAAGCAGCUUCCAGCCUUUCCAACCCACAGCCCCUGUGUGAGCUCCCAUGUGGAGCAGGAGGAAGAGCCACAGAGCCCAGGUCUUCAGCGCUCCAGAGGGAAGGAGAGUGUGAGACUCCCUGGUGGGUUGGGGCAGAGUCAGGCCUGGCCAGGUGCCCAUCUUGAGAAAAGCCAAGAUGGGGGAUGAGCUGGAGUGGCAGGGCCUGGAGGAUGAGAAGGUGGCAGGGAUGCAUUGGGGCUACGAGGAAACCAAGAUUUUCCUGGGAAUUCGCAGUGAGUCCUGGAUUCAUGAGAAGCUCUGUACGUGCCAUCGGAACCGCCAGGUGUACUGGAUUGUGGCUGAGCGGCUGCGGGAACGGGGCUUACUGCGGACCCUGGAGCAGUGUCGCUACCGGUUCAAAAACCUCCAGACUAACUACCGCAAAGCCAGGAGCACCCACACUCCAGGCACCUGCCCCUUAUACGAUGAGAUGGAUGCCCUGAUGAGUCCCUGGACCCUGGCCAACACCUUUGAUGCCUUUGAGGUGGCAGGAGGCGUUCUGCGGACUAGAGGGGACUCCAGUGAGAACCAGAAGGCAGUGAUGGGAUGGUAAUGAGGUGACAGAGGAGCCCCAAGAGGAUCCCGGGAGCCUCGGCCCCCAGGCUUUGAGGGGGUAUCCCAAUGGUAAGCUCUCUUCCCCGAAGUGCACUUCAGAACAGUGGGAGAGAGGAAGCCCCGCGGGAAGAUUAGGGACCGUGAAUCAGGAGACAUGCUUAUGUCUUUCACUCUGCUAUCACUAGUCUGUAUCUGAAUGGGCUUGUCAGGAGGAAAACUGUUGAUUUCUAUAGAGGAAUACUAUUUACAGCCUAUCUUUAAAUACUGAUAGAAACCAAUAGUCCAGGGUGACUCAGGAAGAUGAUUGAGGAUUUUGCUCUGCUCGCCAGCAAAGGGAUCUCCCUGCCUGCUUUUAGUAACAAUAUUAGAGAAACAGGAGAGUUACUUAAAGUUUCAGUUGUUUGUUUCCACCUAAAGUGCCCCAUAGAUGUGAACUCUGCAUAUAUUAUAUGUAACAGUCUGCCACUUUAAAGACUUGUCUAUUCCCGGGUACAUUGGUUAAACACCCUGAGCCCCCAUUUUCUUAUCUGCAAAAUGGACACAGUGAUGGUAACUACCUCCCUGGGUUGUUACAUUGUUUGCAUUCAGCAAAUGUUAGUUCUCAUUGUCAUCGUUAUAAUUAUUGUUAAAAUACAUAAGCACAUUGCCCUGUAUGCUGAACUUAAGGGGGAAAAUUUCCUAAGUCAUUAACUUUUUCUUCUGAAAACUAGACCUUUCUGAGGCGUGCUUCCAUUCUCAUCCCACCUACCACUUCCACAUAUGAGAACAGAAGGCAAAUUAUGUAAGAACCCCAUGUCCCUUCUUGCUUUUCCUUGGGCAGGACCUCCAGUUCCCCCAUCAGAUGGGGUCUCAAGUCUGGAGGGAAGUGAAGAACUUUGGAAGGACAGUCUCCAGGAUUUCAAGGAAAUUCAGAAAACUUCCUGUGCAGGUGGGAAAUGAGUGAAAGCUAGUAUCUUACCAACAAAGAAGUCAGACCUGGAAUUCUGAACAUGGAUGAGCCAGCACUGGACAAGGGCGGGAGAGGAACCCAGGCACUUGAUCUUCCCGGGUUAUUGUUCUGUGGUGCUGAAACCACAGGAGUUGUGAGAAGAACAGAAAAGAAAGCCUGGUCUCUUUAGUUACCUUGGAAUAUGUAGCUAUAAACAAAGUAUUAGUGUUUAUGAUUUCUCUCUUAAAUUUCUAUCUGAAUUAUAAUUUUAAUUAACUAUCACUUAACCAGGUUAGUAGAAAAAGGGAACAUGGAUGACCCCAAAUUAAAACUACAGUCAACCUUAGAUUAUUGGAGGGGUGAAUUUCUCAUGAUUAAGAUGAGCUCCCUUCCGUGGUGGGGCUCAGUCAUUUUGUUGGAAUUUCAGGUGAUCUGGUAAAUAGAACUGUUCUCCUACUCAGGUUCUAGACUGACUGAGAGAGACAUGAGUAAGACAUUGAGAUCAGAAUGGUAGCUUUCUAAAUGGUGGAGCUCUUGAGGGUGUGGCUUAGCUGUGGGGUCACACAGAGCCCCAGAACUGAGCCACAGGCAGCACUGGACAACCACCACCUCGCCCUGCAGGGAUAGAGCCUUCACUGCUGAUCUGAGCCACGUACACCAGCUGCUUGUUAACCAAGGAAGUCAUUCCUCCCACCUGUAAGGAAGGGGAUGGAGAAUGGCCAGGAGAAUUAUUCUAAGGCACGUCUCUCUACCCAGAAGACAGUAUCAGGAAGAGAAAGGUGGCUUUUUAGUACCGAUUGCCAGUUCGUAGGUGAUGGGAGGAGAGGGGGAGCUGAGCUUGGCGACAGAGCCUCUGAGGAGGGGGGAGCAGCUCUGACUGAAGAGGAAGAAGUGCGCCUGGACCUGCCUCCAGCCUUUCUCCACAUGACCUUCCUGCUUAGAAGCUGGGGGAGUGAGUGAGGCCUGGAUGUCUGCUGGUCUUGACAAUGGUUCAGCCAUAUUCCAGCUUAUUUGUUCCUGGUUAAUGGAAAAUUGAUUAAGGUCUGUCACCACCAAUAACUUGUUUUUAAGUGACCAGUAAGGACCUCUUUCACAUUGUUUCCAUUCUUCUGAAUCAGAAAAUAGGUAACCUUUGCAGUUUCAUUUCAUUCUUUCAGAUCUUGAAACAAGGACAGAGAAUGAGGAGGAUUCAAGCCAGGACAUUUCAGAGGCAGUAAAACUACCUGGGGUGUUAUUAGGAAGAUCCAGCAUGGAUGGUUCCCAAUACCUCAACUGGAGGAAAGACUGGGAGAGUGAAUAUGGGGCAGAGAAGCAGUGGGAAAUAUCCUUAGAAGAUGGACAAGAGUUGCUCUCUCCUCCAGAAAGAGACUUAGGUAAAUUCAUACGUCCUCAGGGAACCUAUGUUGGAGAAAAACCCAAUGUAUGCUGUGAAUGUGGAAAACAUUUCAGCCUGAGCUCACACUUAGCUGUCCACAGAUUAGCCCACACUGGAGAAAAGAAACCCUAUAAAUGUGGCCAGUGUGGGAAAAGCUUUGGCCAAAGCUCAUAUCUGGUUUGCUACCAGAGAAUCCACACGGUAGGGAAGCCCUACAAAUGCCCCAAAUGUGGGAGAGGCUUCAGUGAUAAUUCUGACCUCAUCACACACCAGAGAAUCCACACAGGAGAAAAGCCCUAUAAAUGUGGGGAGUGCCGCACAGGCCUUAUUAUGCACCAGAGAAUCCACACAGGAGAGAAACCCCGUAAGUGUAGUGAGCGUGGAAAGAGUUUCACCAACGGCUCGCGCUUGGGGACACACUGCUGAACGCACACUGGCGAAAAGCCCUACCAGUGCCCCGAGUGUGGGAAAACGGUCAGUAAGAGUUCCAUUCUGACCAGCCAUCAGAGGAGAGAAACCCUUUGAGUGUCUGGAAUGUGGGAAACGUUUCAUUGACUGCUCAAACGUCAUUACCCACCGGCGAAUCCACACUGGAGAGAGACUCUAUAAAUGUGGGGAACGUGGGGAGAGCUUCAAUCAGAGCUCAGGUCUUAUUACUCACGAGAGAAUCCACACGGGAGAAAAACCCUAUGGAUGUGCUGAGUGUGGGAGCCAAUUCAACAAUAGCUCACGUAUUAGUGCACGUCAGAGAGCCCACGCCGGGGAGAGACUCUAGGUGUAGGGGACCUAUCUUGAAAACACUGCAGAAUCUACCCCCAAAACGGGUUUGUAUGGCCUUUGAUUCUAUACCACGACACCCACAGGAGAAGGAGAGAGAGCUCAAAACCCAGUCCAACAGACCGUAUUUUGUUUCUCUCACUCAGUACCCACUGGGCUUAUGAAAUACCACUCAAGGCUUUCCUGUCCAUGCUGUUAAAAUGGAAGCUGAUUUCCAGAGGUUUCAGAGACUAGUUCUGAAUCUGACUGUAUCACCAUCUCAGUGUGUCUUCACUGUGAUUCUGUGCCUUAAUUUUCACAGCAUGGUAAUGUGAGGGUGAGAUCCAUAUCCUCCUUCCAGGCCGGAGGCAGCUCUGCCCUCCCGUGGUGAUGGCAUUAAAGAUGUAGAACCAGCAGUGGCUGAGCAGUUUCCUCCCGGCACUGGGCAGCUAAACAAGGAUUUGUUUAUGAGCUAAAUACAUUUCUAAAGGUCUUCCCCUGUUCUGCCUCUGGGAGGACUGGAGCCUCAGAACUGUCUGUGUUUCCCUACAUCCCCUGUCUUAGAUUUACAUGGAGUUACUUGAGAGGAAAGCAUUCUAUUGGGUUAUUUGGAGGAGGGAAGAGGAGGAAAGAUCAAUGCUAAAGUCUGACUUUCUAAACCAUACCAUACCCUACUCUUCCUCCAACAUAUUAGGUUGAACCAUGGGAGAUUGCCAUUUUUGGUCUAUAAAACUAGCGAUUUCAUGAUUCAACCGAAGUAGAAUUUUUGCAUGGUUGAAUUACUCCAAACUGCCAGCAGGGCUGCUGCAGAGCUUUAAAGCUUAUACCGUAUCCUACAAAUGUGAGACCGGGUCGAGAAGAUCGUGAACCAGGGUGAUAAAGUGGGUGAAGUCUCUUCUGUUUGUAAAUAUGUCCAGAGCAAUAACUAGGAACCAUGGCGUUGAUUAAGAAGACUCCUGGUUGGAGGAGUUACCGCUCUAUCACCUGCCUCUGACGAGCUCACUAGUUCCCGUCUGUGCUCAGGUGUCCAGGUCCUACGGGGGAGGCCAAGUGCAGGUCAACAGGUUCUGGUGAUUUGGGCAUCUCUCUGGGAGCAGAGUCCCUGGAGGGCCUCUGACAUACACAGCAAAUGGUGCUUGGAAAUAAAUGGAACACAGUUUCUCCCUCUUAAAAUAA